rnacentral:rRNA from 1 species
CGCCUGUAGCAAUACAGGUGGCGCACGGCGCACGGGUGCGUAACACGUGGGUAAUCUGCCCUCUGAUGGGGAAUAACUCGCCGAAAGGCGAGCUAAUUCCGCAUAAUAUUCCGAGAACCUUGGUUUUUGGACUGAAAGGCGUAAGUCGUCGGAGGAGGAGCCCGCGCACGAUUAGCUAGUUGGUAGGGUAAUGGCCUACCAAGGCUUUGAUCGUUAGCUGGUCUGAGAGGAUGGCCAGCCACACUGGAACUGAGACACGGUCCAGACUCCUACGGGAGGCAGCAGUGGGGAAUCUUGCACAAUGGGCGAAAGCCUGAUGCAGCGACGCCGCGUGGGGGAUGAAGCAUUUCGGUGUGUAAACCCCUUUCGAUCCGGACGAAUGCCUCGCAAGAGGAUUGACGGUACGGAUAUAAGAAGCCCCGGCUAACUACGUGCCAGCAGCCGCGGUAAGACGUAGGGGGCCAGCGUUGUUCGGAAUUACUGGGUGUAAAGGGUUCGUAGGCGGUGCGGCAAGUUGGGAGUGAAAUCUCUGGGCUCAACCCAGAGGCUGCUUCCAAAACUGCUGUGCUUGAGUGUGAGAGAGGCUCGUGGAAUUGCAGGUGUAGCGGUGAAAUGCGUAGAUAUCUGCAGGAACACCCGUGGCGAAAGCGGCGAGCUGGAUCACUACUGACGCUGAGGAACGAAAGCUAGGGGAGCAAACAGGAUUAGAUACCCUGGUAGUCCUAGCCCUAAACGAUCAGGACUUGGGGUGGCAUCCGUUCGGAUGUCGUCCCGGAGCUAACGCGUUAAGUCCUGCACCUGGGGAGUAC